rnacentral:lncRNA from 1 species
UUGGAUUCUCAUAACUUGUUUUGAAAUCAUGUGCAUGUUUGAGUGACUUAUGAUAGAUUGCUUUCAAAAGAAAGUUCUUUUUUCAAAAUUGAAGUGUGGUUUUACUUUAAAAAAAUAUUUGGAGUUAAUUUAGCUCUAUCACUUGGAUCAUUGUUCUCAUUGAUUGUGUGUUGGCUGAUUUCAAGUGAUAGAACUACUCAUGAUCAUAUAUAUAUUACUACCAUAUUCCUCCAAAUUUAUCCCAAAUCAAAUUCCACUCAAAUCUAGUGGAUGUCAGCCAGGGGGAGCGGAAUCUCCGGAACUUUUUCCGAAAAUUUCGGAAGUUGCGGAAUCUUCGGAAUUUUUUUCGAAAAAUUCCGUAACUUAACGGGUAUUUACCUUUCUACCCAUGAGAAGUUGCCGGUUCACUCGACAUUUGUUACCACUAGCUUCCCCCUCCUCUGUAACAGCCCAGGUAAUUAAGAAACUAAAUCAAAGAAUCAACAAAGGGAUUAAGAAUUGGUUCUAUCCUUGUGAAGUUGCCGGUUCUAUCCUUGUGAAGUGGUUUAUCGGAUAAAAUCCGACGGACGACCGAAUUGACUCGAUUAUAGUGGCUAAUCGCGUGUUAGGCGACUGAAGUACACUUUAAUCGGGUUAAUUUGGGCGGUUCCGCCACAUCCUCCCUCUCCUUUCUCCUCCCCUCCCCUCGGGCGAUUCGGAGAUCCCAC